UUGCCCUUUAUUUCUAUUCCUCUUACAAUAACUGAAUUCAUUAUUCAGCACCCAAAUUGUCAAUUUCACUCACUGCAUGUUGCCUCUGCCUUCCAAAAUCCACAACAAUUUUGCCUUCUGAAUAACAAUACAAAUUUUGUCUUCCUAUACUGUGGAAAAAUUGAUGGGUAUAUAUGUUGAGAGGAAAGGGAGAUGAGAUUUGACAGUGGAGAAGAAUAGAAGUGCUAUGGAAAGGGGAAGGAGAAAUAGUAGAAAGGGAAACUGAAUGUNN
rnacentral:lncRNA from 1 species